CCCUUAGAUGUUCUGGGCCGCACGCGCGCUACACUGAUUCAUGCAACAAGGUUUGUCCUUGGCUGAUAGGCCUGGGUAAUCUUUGAACGUGAAUCGUGAUGGGGAUAGAUGAUUGCAAUUAUUCAUCUUCAACGAGGAAUUCCUAGUAAACGCAAGUCAUCAGCUUGCAUUGAUUACGUCCCUGCCCUUUGUACACACCGCCCGUCGCACCUACCGAUUGAAUGGUCCGGUGAAAUCUUCGGAUCUGAGAGAUGUCUGAUUAAUUUCGGACGCCUUUUGGAAAAGUUGCUUAAACCUUACCAUUUAGAGGAAGGUGAAGUCGUAACA
rnacentral:rRNA from 1 species